rnacentral:lncRNA from 1 species
UUAAACCAUUAGUUUGAAAUCUUUGGUAGUCUUGUUGAGGAUCUAUGAUUUCUUCUAUGUUUUGAUUAUAUUGUACUGGUCUGUUUAAAACUCUUUCUAUUAUAUUUCUACUUAUACUUGAAGUACUAUGUCUAGAUGUAGAUGCUUCUUCAUUUAUUGUUCUAGAUUAGAAAAGAUGGAGAUUAUAGGUGAAAAUGUUCUAAAAUAUUGGGAAAAAGAUAAAAUCUUAUGUGAACUAAAAAUAAAAAAUCCAGAAUACAUAAUUAAAACUAAGAAUAUAGAAGCUACAAAUUUAGACAUAGAAGAUUUUAAAACACAUAUAAAAGAACUCUUAGAAUUAGGAGUUAUUAUAAAUAUUUGUAAUAACUCCUAAUUCUCAGAAAAAAUCAUUGUAUAGCUGAAUCAUCCUUGUGAAUACUUAAGGUAUUAUUGUAUUUCUUUAAGUUUAUUUUAGAACUUUAGGGACUUCCCGAAAGGGAAAUCCUUAGUUGUAAAUCUUUUUAAAAGAUGAAUUUAUAAAUCCCUGAUUUAUGUUUUAUUAGUUUAUGUUCAUAUUUUUGUAUUUAUGUUAUAAGUAAAUAUCUGUUAUGUUUAUCAUUUCAUCCUAUGCAUAUAAUAAAAGCAUAACUUGAUUUCUAGAAGCCAUACUAUUUUUAGGUUAAUCCCGAGUGACCCAGAUGAAUGAAAACUUUUGGCCGGAGUGAGCCUUUUUGAUAUUUUCUAGAGAUGCUGGGGAAAGGGAAAAAAUUAAUCUAAGAAUUUUAUAAGGGAGUGCCACGGGUAACCUUAUAAAAAGAAAUCAGGUUCAAGUUUAUAUGUCAUAGGUGGUGAAAAUUUAAAUGGAAAAAAAAAGGGAUUUAUACACGAUUCUUAAGAAAGAUUUAUAUGUCCAGAAGGACAUUUUGAAUGGCUUGUAAUGUCAUUUGGAAUUAAGAAUGCACCAAGUAUUUUCCAAAGAAAAAUGGAAAGUAUUUUUAAUAGACAUAGUAAGUUUGUAAUAGUUUAUAUUGAUGAUAUUUUAGUUUUUAGUAAAAAUAAACAAGAACAUAGAGGACAUUUACAAAUAGUAUUCUCAGAAUUUAUUAAACAUGGUUUAAUAAUAAGUAAAAAGAAAAUGAUUUUAUUUAAAGAAUUUAUAGAUUUUUUAGGAGUUAACAUAGGAGAAGGUAAAAUUAAGUUACACCCCAUACAGAUUCUUUUGGUAAAGUAUACUCUAUACUUUUACCACAAUUUGUCUCAAAACUAAUCUUACUAUUUGAUUGUAAUAAUUCUUUAUAAGUAUAAAGUUCUCCAUCCAUUUGUUGUGCUUCUAUUGGUUUAUCUGACUAUAUUAUAUAUUGUUCUGGUAUUAGUUUUUUAUUAAUUAUACAAUUACUACAUUCUGAGUCUAUUAAUCCUAAACAUUUUAAGAUGACUGUUUAACUUUUAAUAGCUUCAAUCCUACUCAGUACUCUCCUUAGUUUUCUAUAAAUCUUUCUUAAGAAUCGUGUAUAAAUCCCUUUUUUUUUUUUAAAUUUUCACCACCUAUGACAUAUAAACUUGAACCUGAUUUCUUUUUAUAAGGUUACCCGUGGCACUCCCUUAUAAAAUUCUUAGAUUAAUUUUUUCCCUUUCCCCAGCAUCUCUAGAAAAUAUCAAAAAGGCUCACUCCGGCCAAAAGUUUUCAUUCAUCUGGGUCACUCGGGAUUAACCUAAAAAUAGUAUGGCUUCUAGAAAUCAAGUUAUGCUUUUAUUAUAUGCAUAGGAUGAAAUGAUAAACAUAACAGAUAUUUACUUAAAACAUAAAUACAAAAAUAUGAACAUAAACUAAUAAAACAUAAAUCAGGGAUUUAUAAAUUCAUCUUUUAAAAAGAUUUACAGCUAAGGAUUUCCCUUUCGGGAAGUCCCUAAAGUUCUAAAAUAAACUUAAAGAAAUACAAUAAUACCUUAAGUAUUCACAAGGAUGAUUCAGCUAUAUAAUGAUUUUUUGGAUUGAGAAUUUUUCUGAGAAAGGUUUCAAAAGGUUUUUGGAUAGCAGAGAGUACACAGGUUGUAAACUUCUGCCUAAACCAAAUGAAACUUGUUUCUUAAAUAGAAAAAUUUUUGGGAGCAAAAAGUCUAAAAUAUCCUUGAAAAGAGCACACGUUUCACCGAGAAACUUCUGGCUAAUUCAAGAUAAAUCUAACAAGUGGAAAGAAAAUUUCCUACUUUUACAAAAGUCUAAAAGUCUAUAGUUUAGGAAUCUUGAAAUUUUCACUAAUUUGCUUAAAAUUCUAAAAGUUUCUGACAUCUUUUUUGAAAAUAAUCAAAAGGCCUAUAGUAUUGUGAUAAGAAUCUUCAGCUUUUCCUUUUUUUCUUCCAUCACUUUUAUCUUGUUCUGCAUUAUUGAGGAUCUGAUUAUGUACUGAGAUUAUGACGUGCCACUGAUGAAAAUGACAUUCCACUAUCUGAAUUAUUGUAUCCUUCUUCAUGUGGAUCUUCGUCUUCAUCUGAAAGUCUGGAGUUACUGGCUUCAUCUUUUUCUUUCUGAUCUGGACAUUCUGCAAUUUCUUUUUCUUCUUCAUGGCUCUUUUUUAAUAUUGUCUCGAAUGCUUGGUUAACUGCUUCUCUUAUUUGUUCUUUUAGUUCUUCAUCAUUUUUCUUCUUUUUAAUCUUUUUCUUUUUUCAAUAAGACUUUUUUCUUCUAAGCAUUUUAUACAUGCUUCUUUAUAACAUUCUAAACAUUUAGCUCUAAGCUUUCUUACUGGGUACCAAUUACAUAAAUAACAAGCUAUAUUGUCUGCUCCUUUAUAUUUUUGCCAAUUAUGUAAGCAUUCUAUAGUUAUACUAUUCAUUAAAUUUAGUUCUUCUUCUGAUUCUGAUUUUUCUUGUAAUUUUAUAUUAGAAAAUUCAUCUAUUAUUUCAUAAUCAGAUUCUUUAUUACCUUCUAGAUCUAUGUCUUCUAUUGAUAUAAUACUAUAAAUAGAUUCUUUAUCUGAAAUGUAUUCAUCUAAUUGUAUUAAAUUUUCAUUAGUACAUUCUAUUAGUGUACUCUUUUUAUCAUAGUUAUUUAUUCUUUUUGGAUAGGUCUUAGAUAAAUGUUCAUUACUAUUACAAACAUAACAACUAAGUCUAUUUUUAUAAGUUCUUUCUGGUUUAAAUUUUCUAACAUGUCUUUUUUCAUCUAAAUAUGAUUUUCUUUUAUUGGAUUUUCUAAGAAAAUAUUUUUUCUUAAAAGGUUUUUUGUUUUUUCUUUCUUUAUUACUACACUUAUUUUUUCUUGAGCUAGAAGCUCCAUAAGUUUGUGGAGUAAAAAUAUCUUUACAAAAUUUAUAGUCUGUCUUCUUAAGUUGUUUUUGAAUUUGUAAUUCUACACAUUUAUCUUCUAAACAUCUUAUUACAUGUUGUAUUCUUUGUCCUAUACUCCAUUGUUUUUCUGGUUCUUCUUUAACUGCUGGCAGAUUAUUCCAUUUAUCUGUAAUUUCUAAUCCUAAUGGUCCUGGUAAUUUAUGAAAUAAUUUAUUUCCUAUUUCUUGAUUAAAUGUGUUUCCUGAUAUUGAAGUUAAGUAAUGAUACUCAUUUAAAAAAUUCUUAACAUAUCUUCCUUUAGUCCAUUUGUAAAGACUAAGUUGUUCUAAAUCUCUCAUAGCUUUUCUUUGUAUACUCAUGUGUCCUGAAUUAGGAUCUGCUCCUGUUAUUAAUAUUUGUAUUUUAUUAACAAAGUUAUAAGGAUUACUUCCCAUACUAACUAAUUGUUCAAAUUCUUGUUUCUUUUCUAAUUUAAAAGCUUCCCACAUAGCUUUUACACUUUCUCCUAAAAAUGUUUCUAAGUAUCUAUACAUGUCUAAAGCUUCCAUUUCUUGAAAAUUUCUAAUAUAAUGUCCUAUUAUAGUAUUCUUCCAUACAUCUAUAACAUUAUUCCAUGUCUGUGGAUCAUGUGCCGUAAUAUUUAAAAUCUGUGCUUUAUGAUCUGAUUGGAAUUCUAUUUUCUUUUCUAAGGGUCUUUCACUUCCUCUUGCUAUAUAUUUUCCUUCUGUAUUAUUAUAUAAAGGAUAGGCUCCUCUUGGGAGAAAUCCUCCACUAUAAAUCAUUGCUUCAUGUUUAACUGUUCUAUCAAAAGGGGUAUCACUAAAAGUUCUAUAUGUAUUUGAGUCUUCCAUAAGUUCUUUUAUAUAACUAAAGUCUGAAUUUUCUGAAUCAUUAUUUUCUUUAAUGGUUCCUAUUCUUAAAUUCUGUUCUUGAUCAUAAUAUAAAUAUUCAGAUUCUGUAAUUGUCUUAUUAAGAUACAUUUGGUCUUCCAUUUCUAAUAAUUCUUUAUUAUCUAAAUUCAUUCCUAAUUCUUUUGGAUAAAUUAUUCUAUCAUUUUCUUCAUCUAUUAAUUCUAAAUGAACUUGAUUUUGAAAUGGUUCAUUUUGUUCUUCUUCAGGAUUAGUUUCUUCUUCAAAGUCAUUUUGUCUUUGUACUUGAUUGUAAUCUAAAAAUCUUAGACUAGUUCUUCCAUGAAUAUCUUUAUAAGUUAGUGCCUCCUGUGGUGCUAUAAUUGCUUCUUGAUUUUCUAAAAAUUUAUAUAUAUCCCAUUCUAAUCCUACUAAUUGUUCUGAUGAAUAUUCUUUUGGUUUAACCAUGUUAAUUCCUUUACUACUCAUUAAGUUUACUACUUUAUCUAUGUAAAUUUUAUAUUUUGUCUGUGAGUUAUUUGAACAUCUUCCUAAAAAUCCUAUACUAAUUAGUAAAUUAUCUCCACUUUCUACCUCUUCAUAUCCUUUUGUUUGAAUUCCUAUUUUAAUUUUAUCUGAAAAGUCUUUAAUGGUUAAUAAAAAAUCUGGAUUACAAUAAAUUAUUCCAUUAUUAUUGUUCAUAUCUACUUCUGUACUUGCAAUCAUACUCUUAUCUAUAUUAUUGAUUCUUCAUCAUAUAUAGUAACUAAAACUUUGUAUCCUAAAUUUUUUCUCAUUAAUCCUUUUAUUCCUAUAACUAUCAAUCCUAAAUGCAUAAAUCUAAAAUUUUUCUUUUUUAAUUCUCUCUUAGAAUCUUCUGAUAUUAAGUUUAAUUUUCUUACUUGAUUUCCUAUACAUGGAACAGAUACUUCUCUACUAUGUCUAAAAAAUUGUGUUCUCGUUUCAAAGAUUCCUCUAUUAUAUAAUAUUUCUGGAUUAAGAAUUCUUAAACCAUUAGUUUGAAAUCUUUGGUAGUCUUGUUGAGGAUCUAUGAUUUCUUCUAUGUUUUGAUUAUAUUGUACUGGUCUGUUUAAAACUCUUUCUAUUAUAUUUCUACUUAUACUUGAAGUACUAUGUCUAGAUGUAGAUGCUUCUUCAUUUAUUGUUCUAGAUUAGAAAAGAUGGAGAUUAUAGGUGAAAAUGUUCUAAAAUAUUGGGAAAAAGAUAAAAUCUUAUGUGAACUAAAAAUAAAAAAUCCAGAAUACAUAAUUAGAAUAUAGAAGCUACAAAUUUAGACAUAGAAGAUUUUAAAACACAUAUAAAAGAACUCUUAGAAUUAGGAGUUAUUAGAAAAUCAGAUAGUCCUCAUAGAUCAGCAGCUUUUAUAGUUAGAAAACAUUCAGAAAUUGUUAGAGGAAAAAGCAGAAUGGUUAUCAAUUAUAAAAGAUUAAAUGAUAAUACUAUAGAUGAUGCUUAUAACAUACCAGACAAGACAGUUUUAAUAAAUAAAAUACAAGACUGUAAAAUUUUUAGUAAAUUUGAUUUAAAAUCAGGAUUUUGGCAAGUAAAGAUGCACGCAGAAAGUAUUAAGUGGACAGCCUUUACCUGUCCAGAAGGACAUUUUGAAUGGUUUGUAAUGCCAUUUGGAAUUAAGAAUGCACCAAGUAUUUUCCAAAGAAAAAUGGAAAGUAUUUUUAAUAGACAUAGUAAGUUUGUAAUAGUUUAUAUUGAUGAUAUUUUAGUUUUUAGUAAAAAUAAACAAGAACAUAGAGGACAUUUACAAAUAGUAUUCUCAGAAUUUAUUAAACAUGGUUUAAUAAUAAGUAAAAAGAAAAUGAUUUUAUUUGAAGAAUUUAUAGAUUUCUUAGGAGUUAACAUAGGAGAAGGUAAAAUUAAAUUACAACCCCAUAUUGCUAAAAAAGCUUUAGAAUUUUCGGAUAAAUUAGAAGAUUUAAAACAAAUCCAAAAAUUUUUAGGAUUAGUAAAUUAUGCUAGACCAUUUAUAAAAGAUUUAGGAAAAAUAGCAGGACCUUUAUAUGCAAAGACAUCUCCUACAGGACAAAGAUUUUUUAAUCAAGAAGAUAUAAAAUUAAUCCAACAAAUAAAGGAAAAAAUAAAAACCUUACCAGAAUUAGCCAUGCCUUUAGAUUCAGAAUAUUUGAUUAUAGAGACAGAUGGAAGUAUGAUAGGAUGGGGAGCUAUAUUAAUUUGCAAACCUAAUAAAUAUACUGAUAAAAGUACAGAAAGAAUUUGUAGGUAUAAUAGUGGAAAUUAUAAGGAGAAAGGAAAUUUAAGUAGCAUAGAUGCAGAAUUAUUAGCUAUUAAUUAUGCAUUAGACAGUUUUGAACUAUUUAUAUAUCUAAAAAAGAAAUAACCAUAAGAACAGGUUGUGUAGCUAUAGUUUCCUUUGUCAAUAAAAUGAAAAUAGAUUUAAAAAGUAGUAGAAGAAGAUGGUUAAAAUUUAUUGAUAGAAUCACUAAUACAAGAAUUAAUAUAGAAUUUGAACAUAUUAAAGGUAGUGAUAAUAAAGCAACCGAUAUAUUAAGUAGAAUAAUAAUAGAUAGAAAUUAUUAAAUUUGUUUAACAUGAUUUUUUUAUACAGAUGACAAGGCCAAGGCCUAUAAGACCAGGAAUUCCACCUGGGAAUUUAUUUGCAUCAAGACUAUUACCACAGACUCCAUUUAAUCAGAACAGACCAAUGUUACAAGACAGGAUAAGGUUUGGAAACCAAGAACUUAUAGUAUUUCCUAAUAGUAAUAUUUCUUUUAAAAUUUUACCACAUAUCUCUUUAUCAAGAGAAGAGAAAUGUAUUUUAGACAAUUUAUGGAUUUCUUAUAAUAAGAAUCCAAAAGACCAAAAAUAUUUUCUUACAUGCAUGAAUGCAUUAUCAGAACAUUUUAGUCAGAACAAGCAAAGGUUUAAAUUUUAUGUUGUUAUUAAAGGAAGAACUCCAGGAAUUUUCCAUUCUUGGUUAGAAGUUUUAGAUUGCAUUAAAAAUUUUCCAGAACCUCUUUAUAAAGGCUUUACAAAUUUUCAAGAAGCAUUAGAUGUUGCAAGACAACAGAUAGGAAUAAAUUUUUAUUUAUCUCAUUCUUUGAAGAAUUACUCAGACCCUUCAUUAGAUUUUUCUCCAAGCAAAGACCAGAAUAUUUUCUGCCAACAUUGUUAAUGUAUGCAGAGAAAUUUCAAAGUUAUUAAUGAAACCAAUCAGAACCUUUCAUUAGAAAGAACUCAACUUCAAAAGAAAGUGGCCCAAUUAGAAAAAGAGAUCUUGGAUUUAAAAGUCCAUUAUCCAACAGGUACUAUGGAGCCCAAGAAGUCCAUAGCUAGUCCAGCUCAAACGGUAGCUGGUAAAGACUUAUCAAAUCCGUUAAAGGUUGUGGACUUACCAAAAGCCCAACAGACUCAGGGGACUGUUGAUUCCUCUACUAAAUUAGACAAUCAGACUGAUAAAUCUGCUACAGAAAAAGGUAAAGAGAUUUGGGAUCUCUUAGGACAGCCCAGUGGAAAAUUUGAUUAUUUAGUCAAAUAUAGUCCACCAGAACAUUUUUCCUCAGAACAUUUUUUAAAUAACCCAGAACUUUCACAAGCCCAAGAAUUUCAAUCUAGUAAGGGAAAAGAAAAAAUGGUAGUCCAAGAUAGUCAAGAAUGUUUAUUUUUUCAAGAAUCACAAGAUCCUAUUCCAGAUACUGCUUUUUUAGAAAAGAUCUUUGAGAAAAUUGAAGAACUCCAAAAACAAUCUAAAAAAGAUGAAGAGACUUCUUCUAGAAAAAAGAAAAAGAUUAAGAAGAAGAAAAAUGAUGAAGGACUAAAAGAACAAAUAAGAGAAGCAGUUAACCAAGCAUUCGAGACAAUAUUAAAAAAGAGCCAUGAAGAAGAAAAAGAAAUUGCAGAAUGUCCAGAUCAGAAAGAAAAAGAUGAAGCCAGUAACUCCAGACUUUCAGAUGAAGACGAAGAUCCACAUGAAGAAGGAUACAAUAAUUCAAAUAGUGGAAUGUCAUUUUCAUCAGUGGCACGUCAUAAUCUCAGUACAUAAUCAGAUCCUCAAUAAUGCAGAACAAGACAAAAGUGAUGGAAGAAAAGAAGGAAAAGCUGAAGAUUCUUAUCACAAUACUAUAGAUCUUUUGAUUAUUUUCAAAAAAGAUGUCAGAAACUUUUAGAAUUUUAAGCAAAUUAGUGGAAAUUUCAAGAUUCCUAAACUAUAGACUUUUAGACUUUUGUAAAAGUAGGAAAUUUUCUUUCCACUUGUUAGACUUAUCCUGAAUUAGCCAGAAGUUUUUCGGUGAAACGUGUGCUCUUUUCAAGGAUAUUUUAGACUUUUUGCUCCCAAGAAUUUUUCUAUUUAAGGAACAAGUUUCAUUUGGUUUAGGCAGAAGUUUACAACCUGUGUACUCUCUGCUAUCCAAAAACCUUUUGAAACCUUUCUCAGAAAAAUUCUCAAUCCAAAAAAUCAUUGUAUAGCUGAAUCAUCCUUGUGAAUACUUAAGGUAUUAUUGUAUUUCUUUAAGUUUAUUUUAGAAUUUUAGGGACUUCCCGAAAGGGAAAUCCUUAGUUGUAAAUCUUUUUAAAAGAUGAAUUUAUAAAUCUCUGAUUUAUGUUUUAUUAGUUUAUGUUCAUAUUUUUGUAUUUAUGUUUUAAGUAAAUAUCUGUUAUGUUUAUCAUUUCAUCCUAUGCAUAUAAUAAAAGUAUAACUUGAUUUCUAGAAGCCAUACUAUUUUUAGGUUAAUCCCGAGUAACCCAGAUGAAUGAAAACUUUUGGCCGGAGUGAACCUUUUUGAUGUUUUCUAGAGAUGAUGGGGAAAGGGAAAAAAUUAAUCUAAAAAUUUUAUAAGAGAGUGCCA